ACAUGCAAGUCGAACGAUGAAGCUGAGCUUGCUGGCUGGAUUAGUGGCGAACGGGUGAGUACACGUGAGUAACCUGCCCUUGACUCUGGGAUAAGCCUGGGAAACUGGGUCUAAUACCGGAUAUGACCUUCCAUCGCAUGGUGGUUGGUGGAAAGCUUUUGUGGUUUUGGAUGGACUCGCGGCCUAUCAGCUUGUUGGUGGGGUAAUGGCCUACCAAGGCGACGACGGGUAGCCGGCCUGAGAGAGCAACCGGCAAUACUGGGACUGAGACACAUCCUCUACUAAACGGGAGGCAGCAGUGGGGAAUAUUGCACAAUGGGCGCAAGCCUGAUGCAGCGACGCCGCGUGAGGGAUGACGGCCUUCGGGUUGUAAACCUCUUUCAGUAGGGAAGAAGCCGCAAGGUGACGGUACCUGCAGAAGAAGCGCCGGCUAACUACGUGCCAGCAGCCGCGGUAAUACGUAGGGCGCAAGCGUUAUCCGGAAUUAUUGGGCGUAAAGAGCUCGUAGGCGGUUUGUCGCGUCUGCCGUGAAAGUCCGGGGCUCAACUCCGGAUCUGCGGUGGGUACGGGCAGACUAGAGUGAUGUAGGGGAGACUGGAAUUCCUGGUGUAGCGGUGAAAUGCGCAGAUAUCAGGAGGAACACCGAUGGCGAAGGCAGGUCUCUGGGCAUUAACUGACGCUGAGGAGCGAAAGCAUGGGGAGCGAACAGGAUUAGAUACCCUGGUAGUCCAUGCCGUAAACGUUGGGCACUAGGUGUGGGGGACAUUCCACGUUUUCCGCGCCGUAGCUAACGCAUUAAGUGCCCCGCCUGGGGAGUACGGCCGCAAGGCUAAAACUCAAAGGAAUUGACGGGGGCCCGCACAAGCGGCGGAGCAUGCGGAUUAAUUCGAUGCAACGCGAAGAACCUUACCAAGGCUUGACAUGAACCAGACCGCGCAGAAAUUGUGCUUCCCUUUGGGGUUGGUUUACAGGUGGUGCAUGGUUGUCGUCAGCUCG
rnacentral:rRNA from 1 species